GACAGAGGGGGCAAGCGUUGCUCGGAAUUACUGGGCGUAAAGGGCGCGUAGGCGGGUUGGCAAGUCGGGCGUGAAAUCCCUCGGCUCAACCGAGGAACGUCGAUCGAUACUGCUGUUCUUGAGGAUUGCAGAGGAGACUGGAAUUCCCGGUGUAGCGGUGAAAUGUGUAGAGAUCGGGAGGAACACCGGUGGCGAAGGCGGGUCUCUGGGCAAUUCCUGACGCUGAGGCGCGAAAGCCAGGGGAGCAAACGGG
rnacentral:rRNA from 1 species